CCUUGGGAUCUGCCUGCCUUGGCCUCCCAAAGUGCUGGGAUUACAGGCGUGAGCCACUGCACCUGGCAUAAUUUUGGCUACUCUUAAUCAACCCCAGAAGGUUUAAUAAGAACUUUGAUUAGCUACUUUCUAGCUUCAUGAAUUUACCAAGCUAUUCCUGGUUUUGCACCUUUAAGAAACUCAUUUUUUAAAUCUGAUGAAUAUAUGUCCAUAAGAAGCUUUACUUGGUUAAAAUUAAAUACAUACAAAAUUGACAGAAAAAUUAUUUUGUCAAAGAAAAAUGAACGAAGAGUAGUGUCAUUUUUCAUUGUCACAUUCAUUUCUCUAAGAAAUGGAUCUGUCCUUCAACAUCUCCUCCUAGCCCAUACUGUUUGAAUAUAGAGGGCUCUUGGGCCAUGGUCCGGGGAUUAUUUAUAAUCAGCAACAAGGGGUUACAGUGUCAUGGCUUACAAUUUGGUGGGGUGGGACCAGGGACUAGUUGGAGUUUUUUGUUUUGGUCGUCAUAAUUUAUUUGAAGCAGGGAGCUUGGCUCUCCACCCUUUGUACUUAUUAGUCCACCAAACAUCUGCCCAGUCACCACUGGGACUUUUAACACUCCAUACUUAUACAUGCUUGAUUUUUUGUGGUAUAGACAUAGACACUUAUCAACAUGGGCUAGCUUCUUUUGACCUUGCUCAUCUCCAUACGGGAUGACUGAACAGGCAUCAAACUGAAGGGUUAAAAAAUGACUAGCCUGAGUUACACUGAUGACAAGAUGACCUUCUGUUGAAAAGAAAAAAGAGAAUAAAUAAGUGAUUAUUAAGCUCUUUUUAGAGUUAAUUUGGUGGGGGUGGGCUGUGGAGUGACAGUUCAUGAUUCUGGAGGUGGCGGCACCUUCUUGACUCGGGUGUGAUGAGUCCAUCCUCUUUCUGUUGUCCAGACUGCAGUCUCAGUACAUAGGAGCACUAGGUAGGGUCCUUCCCAGGCUGGUUCGAGCUUCCUUUUCUUCUACCCUUGGAUGAGAACAUGGUCUCAAGGCCAAUGCUGAUGUUCUGGAAACUCCAGGGGUGAUGCCUGUGCUAGGAGACCUUUAGUCCCAAGGGAAAAGAAGGUAGAGCCUAGACCAAGUAUAUAAUUUUUGAGGAAAUGAUCCUUUGUUUCAAACAUAGGGAUGUCAGCAAUGGAGUGUAAGUAGGGCAUUCCAUAGAGCGUUUCCUCAGGUGACAGGCCAAUAUCUUUCCAAGGGGCAGUCCGGAUUCUUAACCAAGCAAUAGGAGUAUAUUUAGUCCAUGGCAAUCGAGUUUCUAAAACUAAGUUAAGUGGUUUAUUAGAGUCUGAUUCAUCCACUCUACUCUUCCUGUGGAGGAUGGAUGCCAAGGAGUAUGGUAUUCCCAAUGUAUAUCUAGUACCUGUGCUAACUUCUUAAUGACAUGCACAGUGAAAUGGGUUGCAGUAUCUGAAUCAGUAUUUUCUAUUAGUUCAAAUCUGGGUAUGAUGUUUUCAAUUAGCGCUUUAACUACAUUACUGGAGGUUGCACGUGAGAAUGGGAUUGCCUCUACCCAGUGGGUAAAAUGGUCUAUUAUUACUAAUAAGUAUAACUACCAAUUGGAGGCAUUUCAGUGUAAUUGAUCUGAACACUUUGAAAUGGUCUCAGUGCUGGAUUUCUUCCACCAAGGCGCAAUUUCCUUAGAUCCUGCUUAUUAGCUUUUUUUACAUGUUAAGCAACUAUCUAUAACUUGUUUGGCCAGGGUGUAAAUUCUUAUACACCCAUAAACCCGGAGAACUGCAUUGCACAUUGCUUGGGGUCCCCAAUGGGUCCCUUGAUGUAAUUGAGACAAGACUUCCCUCAUGAGAGGUUUUGACAACAUUUCCCUUUGAUCUGAUAAUAUCCAUUUCCUAUCCGCAUUUUCUUUAGCUCCUAUUUUUAUCAACGUCUUUUGUUCAAUGGAAGAGAAAACGGGUUACAGUAGGAGGAGGGCAUGGAGUUAAAUGGAAGAAAUGGCAACUUGUUUUGCUAUUUUAUUGUAACCGACUGAGUUAUAGAGAGAAUGCCACAGUCUGAGACUAAUUCAGUGAUCCUUUAUUGCCAGCAACCGAGAGACGGCUAGAGCUCAAAAUUCUCUCAGCCCCGAAGAAGGGGCUACACAUCUUUUUACACCUUGGUCUAAAGAGGGGAGGAGGAGUGUAGCUGAAGCAAUUUUUUACAGAAGCAGAACAGGCAAAAAAGUUGAAAGAUAAAUGGUUACAGAAACAGUAAUAAGAAAAUAAACAGUUCCAGGUGCAGGGGCUUAAAUUAUCACAAAGUGAUAAACGCAAAGGCUUUGGGCACCGUCAACCGAGUGCGUUCCCAGGAGCUGCUGGUACAGCUUGCCUCAGUAUCUUAUCAGUAAGCGCAUUCUUGGAUGUGCUUGGAGUCAGCUUGCACCAGUUAUGUCCUUAAGGGAGGGGGACAAGGGGCUGCAAGUGAAGAAACCAAAAUGGAGUCUGUCCAGCUCUCUCAGCUAAGAGAGAGUCAAUCAGGUUAAAAGAAGUUAGGGUAUCACAUUUCCCACUCGUGUUUGGGGGAAUCAGAUCAUUGAUUCCUCGGUUAUAACAAGGGUGUUAUAUUGGGUUCUAAGAUACAUAAGAUUGACAGAAGCUAUGCGUUGCUUUACAAAAUUAAGAAACCAAUUUAAUAUACAAGGCCUGAAGACUAACCCUAACAAGAGGAGGAGAAGGGGGUCCCGCCAACCCAGUAAUUAGAGUAGUUAGCCAGGGAUUCCAGUUAAACAUGCUUUGGUACUUUGGUACUCCAGGAAUGAGAAAGGUGGUGUUACUUUCUUGUUCCUUCUGGCAUCUAUCUAGAUUUUCUCGAACUCUUUGAAGAGUAUUUUUUAUGACUCCAGACUGAUUGGCAUAGAAACAACAACUUUCUUCUAGAGCUGUGCAUAAACCUCCUUGGGAGAUAAAUAGCAGAUCUAAGCCUCGGCGGUUUUGAAGAACUACUUCAGCUAGAGACUCUACCUGGGCAUGUAGUAUAUUUAUGGCUGAUUGGAGAUUGCUUAAAUCAGCAUCUACCUGUUGAGAUAGUGAUAUUAGUCCAGUUUCUCCUUGAAUCAGGGCAGUCGUGCCAAUAGCUGCUGACGUAGCUAUGCUAAGGCCAGCUAGAAGGGGUACAAGGAGUAGGGCAGCUCGGUGAAACCUGAAAUGCAAUUCAGGGGGAGCAAUGAGAAGUUGUCCUUCUGGCCCACUGUACAUGUAGAUCUGGGGGAGUACAUGAAUCAACAUGCAUAGGAGAGGUCCAGGUUCAGUCCCAUUGAUGCAGCGAGUGAGGCCUGAAAUGCAGGCCAACCAGGUAUUUUUGGGUGCCUGGUAGGAGACUGAGGGGUUUAAGGAAGUAAGGAGAGACUCACUACAAGUAGCCUGAAAGGGAGAAGCAGGUAAGUUAUACCUUGCGCUAAUUAGACAGAAGGCAUUCCCUGACACAUCUCCUAGUGUAAGGGCAUGGGGGCACGUAUGACAAGAAAGAGAGUCCAUUUUGAGCAUGGCUUCUACUCCUAAUCCAACAUAAUAUGGGGGUUUGGCCUUUCGGCACAACCAGCAAUCUCAGGCUAGUUUAGGCUUGGUGAGAUUAAGGAGGUGAUGUAUCCCGUCCAAAAUGGACAUCGGGCUGGGUUGGAGGUAUUGUCAUUGCAGCUGGGGUCUCAGAACCAGGAAUGGCAGUGGGACAGUUAAAUCGACUCUCUCUGGGUGUUUUUGGAACAUAGGGUCACCUAAAUCAGUUAAAGUUCUGAUUGGCUUCAUGGGACCAGGAAUUUUUUCUGGAUGGUGAACAUAGUUCCAACAUCAAAUCCUGAAAUAUAAAGCCUUAAUCCCUAUGACAUGCUGUAAUACCAUUGAGUUAAACUAGGGUUACGGAGAGUUAUAGUAAGAGGAUUACAAUUUCCUAUAGUACACGGCUUAGGAUGGGAAGCACAAGCUAUGGAAAGGGUUGAGGAUCAGGUUCAUCCUCCAGAGUAAGUGGCCAAGGUUACACACAUGCAGUAAGGGCAGAAAAACUGGUAAGAAUCUCGACAACUAGAGUCAGGGCGAUUUCCAGGACAAAGGUAAAAGUCAACGCUCUGGAGCCUUUUUUCUGCACCCUUAGAACUUCCACAUCCAGUUUGGCUUCUGGUGUGUCCGAACCCUGCAGCAAGGUCAGCGUUCCCUGCUCUCAUGAUCGGCAGAUUGCAUUGCUCUUCAAGGGUAUGGGCAGGGUCGGGGAACAAAGCACAUAAACCGACUACAAAAGAGACUUCCUUGGAGGGUCCCACCUUCCAAGUGGUGUUUGCAAACACACAUCCUGUCAUGAAGGAAGUGAGGAGAAAAGAGUAGGAAGGGGCAGAGGACAUAACAGGUGGAAACAGACAGAAGAGGUAAAUAAAAAGAAUUAAUUCGAUAGCUUUACUCAACUUAGGCGCAGUUUUAAGGGGCCUGGCCUAGGCUUGGGGACCCAUUUUUUUUGCUGGGCUUUGUUGGCCUUUUUGAUGCGAGAAUGAUGAAUCCAAGCAGGAGUGCCGUCCACCUUCAGAGCUGUUGGUGUGGUGAGGAUGACAGUAUGAGGUCCUUUCCAGGCAGGAGUCAGUCCUUUUUUCUGGAACUUUUUAACAUACACUAGGUCACCCAGCUGGAAAGAGUGGCAGGGCCCAGUCUGGUCAGGAACUGGGCUGGGGUGUGCUCCCCUGACAAGCAGCUGGAUGAUGUCUUGUACCCGUUGGAGAGACUGCAGGUACUGUAACAAGUUAGCUUGUGAGAUUUCUGCUAAAUGGGUAUCCUUUAGCUUAGGCAAGAUAGGCGGAGCCCUUCCAUACAUGAUUUCAAAAGGUGAAAACCCAGCCUGGUAAGGGGUGCAUCUUACUCUAAGAAGGGCUAAAGGAAGGAGCUUUACCUAGUUUUCACUGGUUUCUAGGAUUAAUUUUGCAAGAGUACUUUUUAGGAUGGGGUUCAUGCAUUCUACUUGUCCAGAGCUCUGGGGUCGAUAGGCACAAUGGAGUUUCCAUUGAAUGUUUAAUGCCUUGCUGACCGACUGAGCUAUGGACGAGGUGAAGGCUGGUCCAUUAUCAGACCUUAUUACAACAGGCAGUCCAUGUUGAGGGAUGAUUUCAUUGAGUAAAAGCUUAACUACCGUGGUAGCAGUUUCGUUUUUGGUGGCAAAUGCCUCAGUCCAUCCAGAAAAGGUGUCUACUAGCACCAGGAGGUAUUUAUACCCUGCCAAGUGUGGUUUUACCUCUGUAAAGUCAAUUUCCCACCUUCCUCCUGGCAAGCCUCCCUGGAGGCGGUGGCCUGGGCUGGGCUUAGGACCUUGCUUGGUGUUUACUUGGGCACAAGCCGUUUACUGGAGAGCUGCUUGGUUAGUUAAGUCCUGAAGGUGGGGGAUCUUGAAAUGGCUCCUUAGAAGCUGGGCCAGUUUUACUCCUCCUAAAUGGGUGGUAGAAUGUAGAUGAUUGAUAAAAGUUUCCCCAAGGGCUUGGGGCAUGAAGAUUCUGGAAUCAGGAAGAAUUCACCAACCUUCCUGAUUUUUACUGGCUUGAAGAUCCGAAGCUUGUUUUUCUUCCUCUGGGGAGUAUUCUGGGUAGUCUGCCCAGUCAGUUGUGGAAAGGACACAGAGGGCAGCAGGGUUAAAGGCACGACCAGGAGCUGAGCUGCCUCUCAAGCUGCAGAGUCUGCUCUUUGGUUACCACGAGCAAUGGCCAUGUCUUCUCUUUGAUGUCCUUUGCAGUGAAUUGCAGCCACCUGUUGAGGGAGCCAAACAGCUUCAAGCAGGGCUAAAAUUUCUUCUUUGUUGUUGACACUCUUUCCUGCUGAGGUAGGAAAUGCUGGGAAGAAAAAGCUGGGCCUUCUUGGCUGGGACCUGAUACCCGAAUUCCUGAAGGAGGUAAAGUAGGUCCGUAGUAUGUUGCAGGCAGCUGUCAGUAGUUUCAGUAGCCAAUAACAGGUCGUCUACAUACUGGAGAAGAGUGCAGUUAGGGUGACUGGCUCAGAAUGGUAAAAGAUCCUGUUGGAGGGCUUCCCUAAAAAGGGUGGGGGAAUUUUUAAAACUUCGGGGUAACCAAGUCCAGGUUAAUUGGGUGGUGUCUACCGAGCCAGGAUAUGUCUGUUCAAAAGCAAAGAUAGGUUGACUUUUGGGGCCAGAGGAAUAGCAAAAAAAAGCAUCCUUGAAGUCAAGGACAGUGUACACCAUAUGUUCUGGUGGGAGCAGGCUGAGUAAAGUAUAAGGGUUAGAGACAGUUGGAUGGACAGUGACUGUCUGCUUGUUACCUUCCUGCAAGUCCUGUACAGGCUGGUAAUCAUUUGUUCCGGGUUUCUGGACCGGCAAAAAUGGAAUAUUCCAGGCGAUCUCACAUGGUAUAUGGUCCCUCUCUUCAGAGGUGAAAAGGGAUGAAAGGAGUUGCUGACACUCAUCCCAGAGUGUCCAGAGUUUGCCUUUUUUAAGGCGGACCCCGUAAUCAUCUGAGAAGCCUAGAGAGAAAUUCUGCAACAUACACUGGAGAGGACUCCAAUCUUUAUGGGGCCGGGAAGAAGAGUUUACUAUUCUGGAGGCAAUUAACAAGGUUUGAACAAAAAUAUUAAACCCAGCAUGGACAAAGAUAUUCACGGCCUGGGAGGCUAUGGUAUCAGAAGAACAGAAGUAUUAUAGCUAGAAGAAGUAGGAAAACAACUAUAGCCAAUAUUUCUUGCCACAUAAGGUCUGUCUCCUCAAGCUUCGAGAUCUAUGGAGAGGAUAAGAGGUGGGUCCAAGGGAUCCUCAGCCAGUGGGACUUAGGUGACCCCCCCUUCUUGACUUAUAUCCCAAAUAACUUUGGUGUCUCCACGACUCGAAAGCAAAAUGUUCAAACUCGGUCCUUUCCUUCACGGGUUUAAGGAGGGAGAACACAGCCAAGUCUUAGAGACGCUGGACUUGCUGCAACACAGGAAAAUGAGAUGUGCAGGGUAAGGGAUGGGGAUGAGGAGGAAAGGGGCCACUUGGAUUUCCCUAAAGGUUGGAGAGUAGCCAAAAGAGGUAAAAUAAGAGUCCAGACAGAGUAGAGCAGUAUGGGUGUAGGUUUCUCUGCACAGUGCCUUAUUUAAGGGCAUGGGAAAAGUUAUGGGAUGACAGAAAAGGUGAGUAAGGAGGUCAGCAGGGUGGCUAUUUUGGAUCCACCACUGGUCUAAGGAGAAGGUGGACCAGUCGUUGGGGCGUGGGGUAUGGCAAUCCAAACGCCAGCAAUCUUUAUGGUGCCAGAAAUCCUAAACGGGUGAAUGUCUUCCACACCCUUCCCCAUAACAACACCUAAUUUGUUUCUGACAGGAAAGGCAGGACUGGGAUGGCCAGCCCAACCGACUAAUGAGGAAUUUGACCUCCUGGGAUAGAAAAUCUGUACUAAGGACCUUGAAGAAGUCCUUGCCCAGUCAUUUUGGGCAGUAUCGACGAUCCGACAUAUGAAAUUUAGACAGACACUAAACAGGACAAUAGGCACUGGGGUAUAUAAACAAGCAUGGCAAUUUUUAUAGACAGACAAGGGGAGGGGGUCCCGUGAUGGGAUCAGUCAGAUGCCCUCCUGGCUGCUCCCCUUUCGGGGACUUAGGCUCCUCUUGGCAUUGGCAGGCUGGUAUAAACCCCUGGCUUGGAUCGAGCUAUGCCUGAUGCCGCCCUAAGCCUUAUGAGGUCACCACGGAACCACAGGUGAGGGCCUUCUCGAAUUCCCUAGCUUUCACCCUGGAGCUACAAACUGGAAAUUCAAGCGCAAGCCCUUGAACUCCACAUUCACUCACUCACUCACUCACUCAGAGUUUAUUACAAUUUUUAUACCCAUUCUAAAACAGAGAUCUCCCGGAGACCUGAAUGAGAGAGGGAGAAGAGAUAGAGAGAGAGAGAGACUAGACUUAACAGAGAAUCCUGACAGAAACCAGGACUCUGUCCUCCAGUGUCCUGGAGCAUGGACAGAGUCUGAGGGAGGACCUUCGUCAGGGCCGUUUCCCUCCCAGAGAGACAGAGUCAGAUCUGACUUACCUUCCCGGGACUAGAGACUGAGGACUCAGGAGUUGAAUUUGGCUGGGCGCACCGGCAGUCGAUCCGUUCCCCUCCAGAAGACAGUGGCCUGUGGAGCCCUGGAACGUCUUCAGGUGGCCCUGUAAGCCAGCUGUCUGUCUGGGGAAGCCCGGAAUGAGUCAGGUCUUCACCCGGUGGCGAAUCUCUCUGGGGCUUCCAAAUGUCGUAACCGAGCAAGUCAUAGAGAGAAUGCCACACUCUGAGACUAAUUCAGGAGUCCUUUAUUGCUGGCGACUGAGAAAGAGCUAGAGCUUGAAAUUCUCUCGGUCCGGAAGAAGAGGCUAGAGUUCUUUUUAUACCUUGGCCUAAAGAGGGGAGGGGGAGUCUAGCUGAAGCAAUUUUUUACAGAAGCAGAACAGGAAAAAAUUAAAAGAUAAAUGGUUACAGAAACAGUUACAGGAAAAUAAACAGUUCCAGGUGCAGGGGCUUAAAGUAUCCCAAAGUGAUAAAAGCAGGGGCUUUGGAUACCACCAACCAAGUGUGCUCCCAGGAGCUGCUGGUACAGCUUGCCUCAGUAUCUUAUCAAUAAGCGCAUUCUUGGAUGUGCUUGGAGUCAGCUUGCACCAGUUAUGUCCUUAAGGAGGGGGACAAGGGGCUGCAAGCGAAGAAACCAAGCUAAGACUCUCUCAGCUAUUGACUCUCUCGAUAUUGACUCUCAAUUGAGUCUCCCAAGCUAUUGACUCUCUCAGCUAAGAAAGAGUCAAUCAGGAUAAAACAAGAUAGGGUAUCACAAUUUGAUCUGCAAGAUUAUUUCCUGGACUUGUGAAAGGCGAGUCGUUUUGGUGCCCUGGGACAUGUACAAUAGCUAUCUCUUCUGGCAAUUGGAGAUUGUUGAGGACACGAGCAUCAGUUCUCUAUGAACUAAAUCUUGGCCUCUACUAUUGAUAAGAGCCCUCUCCAUCCAAAUUUUCCCAAAUGUGUGUGCCUCCCCAGAGGGAUACUUAGAGUCAGUAUAGAUAGAUUUUCUUGGUUUUGUAAAUGUCCUAAAGCUUGGCUGAGUGCAAACAGUUCACACCCUUGGACAGACCAAUUAUUAGACCCCCUUCCUGAUUUUACUUUUUUAACAGUCUUUCCAUUAAUCACUGAAUACCUAUUAUGUCUCUUUCUUUUAAUCACCUGGGAGGUUCCAUCUAUGAAUAAGUGCCACCCUGUCUUGAAGGGAGUUUUUCCUAAGUCUGGUUGAACUUUCGUAUGGUAAUUAAUUCGAUUUAAACACGCGUGCUCUCUCGUUUUACGUUUGGAUCCCCCGUUAAAGAGCCUGCUGAAUAAAGUGAAUUAUUAGUACUUAAUAUUAAAUCACCUUUUUCCCAGAAAGAUAGCCUCAUAUUUUAAAAUUUUUGAGUUGGUAAUCUCCCUCCUUGCGUUUUGAUUUAAUAUAGUUUUAACUUGGUGGGUUGUGGCCUGAAGCGGCUGGGGAGUAACUUGAAACCUCAGCUGAAGGGACAGCACAGGCUGGGGCGUGGCCUGAAACAGCUGGGGAGUAACCUGAAACCACAGCCGGAGGGACCUGAGAGGGGAACCAAAGGGGCAGGAUUGGGGGCGCUGAAGGAAGGAAGGUGAUUUAGAGGAUCCCAUGUCUUGGUAGGUAUGGGUUGUCUAGGCAUGGGAACUCUUUCCUUUUUAGAAAGGUUGGUUUCUGAUUUUCUCCCUCCAGAGUCUAAAGGGUAAAGGAGAACUGGUCCCUGCCGCCAGCAGAGGGCGUAAUCGAUUUUUCCUGGGACACAGGGCUCUUACUGUUAACAUAUUUGAUUAACAGCUGACAAAUUCGCUCUUCAUUAGACUUAAAUUUUGGCCAGAAAAGUGAGGGCUUAAGGAUGGGUUCUCGAACUUAAAUAAAACAACAAUAUUCUAUCAUCUGCUGUUUUUGUUUAUACUUGGUUCUCUUAUUAUUUUUUCAAUACUUUAGCAUAAGCCCCAAGGGGCUAUCAGAAGGAAAUUCAUCACUCUCUAGACUCUUUAGUUUUCCUGUCUUACUUGAAACGUUCCCCAUCUUAGGGAUUAUGGGGAGGAGGCCCAACCCCUCCUGUGAGAUUUCUACCCUCCCCCUUCCUGGAGGCUUACUGAGGCUUUGGGGAAAGGCUCCAACCCAACCUGUUUGGAUUUCUACCCUCCCCCUUCCUCUUUGUCUACUCUGUCUGUUCCUGACUCUAGUUGACAGAUGGCAGCAUGAGGCCAUAGAGAAGACUCACUCACUCCACAUAACCACCAUACUAAGUCCCAUUCAUACACUGUCAGCCUCCAGCUUAUCCCAACCACCUGGGAAAUACUUUGUCACCUUCGCCAAGUCUCCUACCUUAUUCCAUGCACAAGAAUUUCCUGGUCCUCUUAUUGUUGCGGUCUUGCAAGCUUCUCCUCCCCGCUUUGCUGAGAUCCAGACUUAUUUGUCACAAAGCGGGGGGGGGGCCCUGAUCUCCCUCAACCUAGGGGCACGGUAACUAGACAGUAGGAUGCGUCCCCUCCGGGUGGGGUGACCGAAGGCCCCCUUCCCAAAGGAGAAGAUUCGAGCCCCAAAGUUGGGCUCCAGAACUGUUAGGAAUAACGCUCAAAAUCUUAAGGAAAUUGAACACUUGAACAAAGGAUUCUUAGCAAAGCAAUUUUACUUCUGCGCAGAGAGGUGCCUCCUUGUCCAGUCGCCAUGAGAGCACACCUGAAAAAGGGGCACGAGAGCCUUUACUCCUGACACAAGUACUGCCCCUGUACCCUUUCUCCAUUGGCCAGGGUCAGGUCGUACAAUCUAAACUAAUCCUGGUUGGCUAAACAUUGGAUUUUUUUUAGAUAAGGUGGGCACGUAAAAAAGGCAGAGAAUAAAGGGGAAGGGGUGUCUGUAAUGAGCUAAAAAGUUAGUCCUCUUUCCAAAUAAGGAAAGGAAUGUGAGCAGGUACAGAUACCACCUGGUACUGUGGCAUGCCUGGGCAUGUAACAAAGGAAAAAAGAGAAAAAAGGAGAAAAAGGAAAAAAGGUGGAGGGAUUA
rnacentral:lncRNA from 1 species